rnacentral:rRNA from 1 species
UACGGAGGGUGCAAGCGUUUAUCCGGAUUCACUGGGUUUAAAGGGUGCGUAGGUGGGUUGGUAAGUCCGUGGUGAAAUCUCCAAGCUUAACUUGGAAACUGCCGUGGAUACUAUCAAUCUUGAAUCUCGUGGAGGUAAGCGGAAUAUGUCAUGUAGCGGUGAAAUGCUUAGAUAUGACAUAGAACACCGAUACGAAGGCAGCUUGCUACACGAGUAUUGACACUGAGGCACGAAAGCGUGGGGAUCGAAACAGGG